UACGAAGGGGGCUAGCGUUGCUCGGAAUUACUGGGCGUAAAGCGCACGUAGGCGGGUCGUUAAGUCGGGGGUGAAAUCCUGGAGCUCAACUCCAGAACUGCCCCUCGAAACUGGCGAUCUUGAGUUCGGGAGAGGUGAGUGGAACUGCGAGUGUAGAGGUGAAAUUCGUAGAUAUUCGCAAGAACACCAGUGGCGAAGGCGGCUCACUGGCCCGAUACUGACGCUGAGGUGCGAAAGCGUGGGGAGCAAACAGG
rnacentral:rRNA from 1 species